rnacentral:rRNA from 1 species
GACGAACGCUGGCGGCGUGCCUAAUACAUGCAAGUCGAACGCAGUGGGGACGGGUGAGUAACACGUGGGUAACCUCCCAUCAGAGGGGAUAACACUUGGAAACAGGUGCUAAACCGAUACUGAUGGAUGGACCCGCGGUGCAUUAGCUAGUGGGUGAGGUAACGGCUCACCAAGGACACGAUGCAUAGCCGACCUGUGAGGGUGAUCGGCCACCCUGGGACUGAGAAACGGCCCAGCCUCCUACGGGAGGCAGCCGUAGGGAAUCUUCGGCAAUUGACGAAAGUCUGACCGAGCAACGCGGCGUUGUUGAAGAAGGUUUUCGGUUCGUAAAACGCUUUUGUUAGAGAAGCGGUAUCUAACCAGAAAGCCACGGCUAACUACGUGCCAGCCGCCGCGGUAAUUC